UCUGUGAUGAUAACGGUCCUCAGAAACUCAGCGGGACCCAAGUCUUCCUUCAUCACCCCAGAGAAGAGAGCUAAACUCCGGUCCAACCCGGUCAAAGUUCGCUUUGCUGAGGAGGUUGAGGUCAAUAGUCACUCUCAGGGCAACUCGCUGCUCUUCCUCCC